rnacentral:rRNA from 1 species
UGGUUGAUCCUGCCGGUGGUCAUAUGCUUGUCUCAAAGAUUAAGCCAUGCAUGUUUGAGCGGAAGCCGCACAAUGGUAAAGCCGCGAAUGGCUCAUUACAACAGCCGUCGUUUCUUGGAUCUCUAAUUUUACUUGGAUAACUGUGGUAAUUCUAGAGCUAAUACACGCACUAAAGCUCUGACCUUACGGGACGAGCGCAUUUAUUAGAACAAAACCAAUCGGGUUUCGGCCCGUGCGUUGGUGACUCUGAACAACUCUGCCGAUCGCAUGGUCUCGCACCGGCGACGUAUCUUUCAAGUGUCUGCCUUAUCAACUUUCGAUGGUAGUUUAUGUGCCUACCAUGGUUGUAACGGGUAACGGAGAAUAAGGGUUCGACUCCGGAGAGGGAGCCUGAGAAACGGCUACCACAUCCAAGGAAGGCAGCAGGCGCGCAAAUUACCCACUCUCGGCACGAGGAGGUAGUGACGAAAAAUAACGAGAUGGAUCUCUUUGAGGCCCAUUAUCGGAAUGAGAACAAUUCAAAUCCUUUAACGAGGAUCUAGCGGAGGGCAAGUCUGGUGCCAGCAGCCGCGGUAAUUCCAGCUCCGCAGGUGUAUAUCUAUGCUGCUGCGGUUAGAAAGCUCGUAGUUGGAUCUGCGUGCUCGGAACUGGUUGGCUCACUGAGUUCAAACUGGUCUCCGGCGCUUUAUUUGCUGGUUUUCCCUUGAUGCUCUUAACCAGGUGUCUCGGGUGGCUAGCGUGUUUACUUUGAAAAAAUUAGAGUGCUCAAUACAGGCGCAAAGCCUUGAAUAGUGGUGCAUGGAAUAAUAGAAUAGGACCUCGGCUCUAUUUUGUUGGUUUUCGGAACACGAGGUAAUGAUUAAGAGGGACAGACGGGGGCAUUCGUAUUGCGACGUUAGAGGUGAAGUUCUUGGAUCGUCGCAAGACGGACGACUGCGAAAGCAUUUGCCAAGAAUGUUUUCAUUAAUCAAGAACGAAAGUUAGAGGUUCGAAGGCGAUCAGAUACCGCCCUAGUUCUGACCGUAAACGAUGCCAACUAGCGAUUCGCAGGCGUUAAACAACGACCUUGCGGGCAGCUUCCCGGAAACGAAAGUGUUCCGGUUCCGGGGGAAGUAUGGUUGCAAAGCUGAAACUUAAAGGAAUUGACGGAAGGGCACCACCAGGAGUGGAGCCUGCGGCUUAAUUUGACCCAACACGGGAAAACUCACCCGGCCCGGACACCGUAAGGAUUGACAGA